CAGUCGUACGCUUCUUUUUCCACCGGAGCUUGCUCCACCGGAAAAAGAAGAGUGGCGAACGGGUGAGUAACACGUGGGUAACCUGCCCAUCAGAAGGGGAUAACACUUGGAAACAGGUGCUAAUACCGUAUAACAAUCGAAACCGCAUGGUUUUGAUUUGAAAAGCGCUUUCGGGUGUCGCUGAUGGAUGGACCCGCGGUGCAUUAGCUAGUUGGUGAGGUAACGGCUCACCAAGGCCACGAUGCAUAGCCGACCUGAGAGGGUGAUCGGCCACAUUGGGACUGAGACACGGCCCAAACUCCUACGGGAGGCAGCAGUAGGGAAUCUUCGGCAAUGGACGAAAGUCUGACCGAGCAACGCCGCGUGAGUGAAGAAGGUUUUCGGAUCGUAAAACUCUGUUGUUAGAGAAGAACAAGGAUGAGAGUAACUGUUCAUCCCUUGACGGUAUCUAACCAGAAAGCCACGGCUAACUACGUGCCAGCAGCCGCGGUAAUACGUAGGUGGCAAGCGUUGUCCGGAUUUAUUGGGCGUAAAGCGAGCGCAGGCGGUUUCUUAAGUCUGAUGUGAAAGCCCCCGGCUCAACCGGGGAGGGUCAUUGGAAACUGGGAGACUUGAGUGCAGAAGAGGAGAGUGGAAUUCCAUGUGUAGCGGUGAAAUGCGUAGAUAUAUGGAGGAACACCAGUGGCGAAGGCGGCUCUCUGGUCUGUAACUGACGCUGAGGCUCGAAAGCGUGGGGAGCAAACAGGAUUAGAUA
rnacentral:rRNA from 1 species